rnacentral:rRNA from 1 species
AUUGAACGCUGGCGGCAUGCCUUACACAUGCAAGUCGAACGGUAACAGGGAGCUUGCUCCGCUGACGAGUGGCGAACGGGUGAGUAAUGUAUCGGAACGUACCAUUCAGUGGGGGAUAACGUAGCGAAAGUUACGCUAAUACCGCAUAUUCUGUGAGCAGGAAAGCAGGGGAUCGCAAGACCUUGCGCUGAUUGAGCGGCCGAUAUCAGAUUAGCUAGUUGGUGAGGUAAAGGCUCACCAAGGCGACGAUCUGUAGCGGGUCUGAGAGGAUGAUCCGCCACACUGGAACUGAGACACGGUCCAGACUCCUACGGGAGGCAGCAGUGGGGAAUUUUGGACAAUGGGGGCAACCCUGAUCCAGCCAUGCCGCGUGAGUGAAGAAGGCCUUCGGGUUGUAAAGCUCUUUCGGCCGGGAAAAAAUCGCACCAGUUAAUACCUGGUGUGGAUGAUGGUACCGGAAUAAGAAGCACCGGCUAACUACGUG